GUUGCGAUGGCCGAGUGGUUAAGGCGUUUGACUUGAUAUCAAAUGGGAUCUUCCCGCGUAGGUUCGAAUCCUACUCGCAACG
rnacentral:tRNA from 1 species